AUUGAACGCUGGCGGCAGGCCUAACACAUGCAAGUAGAACGAGUGGCGGACGGGUGAGUAAUGUCUGGGAAACUGCCUGAUGGAGGGGGAUAACUACUGGAAACGGUAGCUAAUACCGCAUACCAUCGGAUGUGCCCAGAUGGGAUUAGCUAGUAGGUGGGGUAAAGGCCAAACUAGGCGACGAUCCCUAGCUGGGCUGAGAGGAUGACCAGCCAAACUGGAACUGAGACACGGUCCAGCCUCCUACGUGAUGCAGCAGUGGGGAAGUUUGGACAAUGGGGGAAACCCUGAUCCAGCCAUCCCGCGUGUAUGAUGAAGGCCUUCGGGUUGUAAAGUACUUUCAGUCGGGAGGCGUAACCGAAAGAAGAAGCACCGGCUAACUCCGUGCCAGCAGCCGCGGUAAUAG
rnacentral:rRNA from 1 species